GCAAGUAAAAGUCGUAACAAGGUUUCCGUAGGUGAACCUGCGGAAGGAUCAUUAUUGAAUGAAACACUUCUGGCUUUAUGCUGUUGUGCUGGCCCUUUGGGCAAUGUGCACACGGCUCUGGUCACUUGUUUCUUCUGUUCCACCUGUGCACUGCCUGUAGACACGCUGUGUCUAUGAUAUUUGUUAACACACAACAAUGUUAGUUGGCAUGUUAUAUAUAAUAAUAAAAUAUACAACUUUCAACAACGGAUCUCUUGGCUCUC
rnacentral:misc_RNA from 1 species